ensembl:snRNA U6 U6 spliceosomal RNA
GUGCUUGCCUUGGCAGUAUAUAUACUGAAAUGGAAGUGAUAGAGAUUAUCACGGCCUCUGAGCAAGGAUGACACACAAAUCUGUGACUUGUUCCACAUUUUU